AUGGCCUUUUCCGUGGCCAAGAUCUCAGCGUCCUUCACCGUGUUCAUGGCCCUGGCCUUCCUCCUUAGCCCCUGCGCGUCCGUCGAGCUCCACCGCAAGCUCUCCGGCUGGUCCAACGGCGGCGCCACCUGGUACGGCGGCCCCAACGGCGCAGGGAGCGACGGUGGUGCAUGCGGGUACCAGGACGCCGUCGACCAGCCGCCCUUCUCCUCCAUGAUCGCCGCCGGCAGCCCGUCCAUCUACCAGGACGGCAAGGGCUGCGGCUCUUGCUACCAGGUGAAGUGCACCGGCCACGGCUCUUGCUCGUCCAGCCCGGUGACCGUCGUCCUCACCGACUUUUGCCCUGACGGGACGUGCCAGGAGGAGCCCGUCCACUUCGACCUGAGCGGGACGGCGUUCGGCGGCAUGGCGAAGCCCGGCCAGGCCGACCAGCUCCGCGCGGCCGGACGUCUCCAAAUCCAGUACACACGGGUCCCGUGCAGCUGGCCGGGGAUGGACAUAGCCUUCAAGGUGGACGCCGGCUCCAACUCCUACUACCUCGCCAUGCUCAUCGAGUACGAGGACGGCGACGGCGACCUGUCGUCGGUGGAGCUCAUGCAGAGCGGCGGCAACGGCGCCGGCUGGACCAAGAUGGACCGGUCGUGGGGCGCGGUGUGGAGGUACAACUCCGGGGCCAUGCUGCAGGCGCCCUUCUCGGUCCGCCUCACCUCCAGCUCCGGCAAGCCCCUCGUGGCGAGUAACGUCAUCCCCACCGGCUGGAAGCCCGGCGGCACCUACCGCUCCGUCGUCAACUACUGA
rnacentral:rRNA from 1 species